CUGGUCGGAAUUCGACACAAUAAAUGCCUUCAGGACUCUGGUAGGUAAAGUUGUUUACGAAAAUGUUGUCUGCAACUUCAAUAAUUAACUACCUAAAGUCGUAAAGUUGCUUGUACCAUAUAGCUCUUAUUAAAUACAGCUGCGUUGGCAACUUUAAAUGCAAAAAUAAGAACUUGUUUGAUUAGGGUUAAAUUAAUUAAAAAAUUUAAAUUCUCUGAAUAUUGAUAUAUUUAACUUGUUUUAUCAGCAUUUUUUUUCAAUUUUUCAGAAACUCAAGGAAGUUAAGUCUUUGAAAUGAAGUAAUUUCUCAGGAAAUAGAAAAUUUGAAUCAAACAAAAUUUAAGAUUGUUUUGCAAUAAUAAUAAUAAUAAUUAUUAUUUAUUGAUAUAAGGUAAACUCUAUAAUUUUAAAUUCAAUUUUAAUUAAUAAAAAAAGUAAUUAUGUACCAUCUCAUCAAGCUGAUGGUAACCAAUGAUAUUAGAUUCUACUGUGUUUUGAUGUGGACAUCUGGAUAGCGGCUCGAUUCAGUUGACCAUUACUCUAUAAUUAAUUCAAUUAGAUCUUUUCUUAUUUGAUUUUGAAAAACGAGUCUUAUAAAAUAGAAAAAGAUGGUCAAAAAUUUACUGGAGAUGUACUCGAUGUAGAUCCUCCUAUGCUCAAAUUAGUCCUUCUUUUGUAAAUAUGAAAGUGAUUGGCUUCUUUUGACUUUAGUUCUUUUGGAGAGCUUUCUAUCUCAAGGAGACUGAAACUCUGGUGAGAGUUUUAGAGAAGAAAGGGUUGUUUUUCAUCAGCAAUGGAUUGUCUUUGGCGAAAUUGAUUCAGAAAUAUUUGUGUUCCGAUUUUCUACUUUAUGUCCCAUCAAAUUAAGAUAACAAAUCAAUGUGGAACAGUUGAGCCCAUACCCUUUGUCAAACGUGUCAAACAACUAAAUAAUUUUUCGACAUGUGCAUUUAAUAUUUCGAAAAGGAUUAAAGAGGCCAACUAUCAUAGGGAGAUCGGUUGUAUGGCUCCGAUCUUAUCGGAUUCUACUCGGUUUAUACGAAUUUUAUUGGAAUCAAUAGUUUUUAUAUUUAUUUUUAAUUAUAUGGCAUGAACACAGAAAAAGUCAUUUCUCUCGUUUUGGAUAUCGAGAAGGUCAAGAGAAAUGGCCUAAUAUUCAGACUUUUAUAAAUCAGGCUUUUUACUGCCGAGUAAGAGUAAGUGAAAAGAUUAGCUCACUCUUUUUAAAAUAUGCGUACACGUAUCACAAUUUUAGCGAUUUUUAUUUUUAUAUCGAGGCAACGUAUUAUAAAAAAGUUAAUAAUUUUAUUAAAAAUAAUUAAAACUUGAAAAAUGUAAAGUUGUCUUAAAUUGCUAUGUAAGCUAUGAAUAGCCUUGUGAUGGUAUGGUUAGUAAUUGAUUUUAGAUUAUAUCAUGAUUUAUUGUAAUAUUAUUAAUUUCGUGUAUCAUGAUGUAAUAAUUUCUCAAUAAAAGUAUGAUUAGUGGCCACGUACAUCCAUCUAUUCUAGUUUUAUUAGAAUACCAUUGAAUGACUGUUCUACAAUUAAUAAAAAAUUAACCCUUCGAGAUUCGUGGCUGCUCCUAACAAUGGUUUCUCCGAUUAUCAAAUCUGAAUCCGACAGCAGAACAAAUGCCUUCGGUCUCCGGUAGGUAAAGUUGUUAAAACAAAUCUUGUCUGUUCAAUAAUGAACUACCUAAAGCAGUAAAAUUGCUCGUACCAUAUAGCUCUAUUAAAUAUAUAAUUUUUUAAAAUAAGAAUUAAAAAAAAAAUUUAAAAUUUCUUAAAUUUAUUCAGAUAUAUUUAUUAUCGAUCUAAAUUUAUCAGUGCUAUUUAAUAUAUAAUUAACGUAAGACUAACAUUUUAUGUCGGUGUUUGCUACUCCGAACAAUGUUUUCUGAAUUUUGAGGCUACUCCGAACAACGUUUUCUGAAUUUUGAGGUUGUAAUAGGUUUUAACAUAACAUCUAAUUACACUUAUGUCGAUUGAUAAUUUUGAAGGGUUUUCUGCAUUUGAAACCUGGAAUCCAGAAGGGUAUAUUUCUUGAGAUACCCAUUUCGAAACAUUGAUAAGACUUGUCGACAUUUUGACACUAAAAAACAGUGGACACAGCUAAACAAGGAACGCACAAGUUUGUUCCCAAAAAGGAGUAGCAUCUUCUUCAUAUGUAGCUCAUGCAAGGAUGAAUCUAGAUUAAUAACCUAAGCUUAGAUGUUUUUUCUUGGACUAUUCGUACGUUGAAAUAGUAGAAAAGAUUUGUGUCUGUUCUUUUUAACCCUGUUUUCACAUGCAACUCUUGUACAGAUCUGAAUAGAUUUGAAGCCACUGGCAAAAUUAACACUGCAGCAAUGGCUGGCUGGCUGGAAUUGCUCCCUCUGAUUUUUCUGCUUCAAAUAAGAAACAACAGAGUACUCUGUCUUUUGACUUCUUCUCCCAGAUUAUGUCAAAGCCAAGCUUUCUCUAGCUGUUUUCAACAACUUCUCUUUUUUUUUUUUUUUUUUUUUUUUAAAUUACUGUAUUGUUCACAGCUCUCCCUCAUGCAUGUGUCCUUUACUUUCCGU
rnacentral:lncRNA from 1 species